rnacentral:snoRNA from 1 species
UUACAUGAUGAACACGUUAUUCACACUAUUUGAUCUGGAUGUUUCUGCAUCUCGGACAUGAACAUAUCCAUACAAAAAUCUGAUUUAAUGAGGUUAGUU